AUUGAACGCUGGCGGCAGGCCUAACACAUGCAAGUCGAACGAGUGGCGGACGGGUGAGUAAUGUCUGGGAAACUGCCUGAUGGAGGGGGACAACUACUGGAAACGGUAGCUAAUACCGCAUACAAUCCGAUGUGCCCAGGUGGGAUUAGCUAGUAGGUGGGGUAAAGGCUCACCUAGGCGACGAUCCCUAGCUGGUCUGCGCGGAUGACCAGCCAGCCUGGAACUGAGACACGGUCCCGCCUCCUACGGUAGGCAUCUGUGGGGAUUAUUGCACAAUGGGCGCAAGCCUGAUGCAGCCAUGCCGCGUGUAUGAAGACGGCCUUCGGGUUGUAAAGUACUUUCAUCAGGUAGGCGUUACCCACAGAAGAAGCCCCGGCUAACUCCGUGCCAGCAGCCGCGGUAAUAC
rnacentral:rRNA from 1 species